rnacentral:rRNA from 1 species
GAUGAACGCUGGCGGCGUGCCUAAUACAUGCAAGUCGAGCGAACGGACGAGAAGCUUGCUUCUCUGAUGUUAGCGGCGGACGGGUGAGUAACACGUGGAUAACCUACCUAUAAGACUGGGAUAACUUCGGGAAACCGGAGCUAAUACCGGAUAAUAUUUUGAACCGCAUGGUUCAAAAGUGAAAGACGGUCUUGCUGUCACUUAUAGAUGGAUCCGCGCUGCAUUAGCUAGUUGGUAAGGUAACGGCUUACCAAGGCAACGAUGCAUAGCCGACCUGAGAGGGGGAUCGGCCACACUGGAACUGAGACACGGUCCAGACUCCUACGGGAGGCAGCAGUAGGGAAUCUUCCGCAAUGGGCGAAAGCCUGACGGAGCAACGCCGCGUGAGUGAUGAAGGUCUUCGGAUCGUAAAACUCUGUUAUUAGGGAAGAACAUAUGUGUAAGUAACUGUGCACAUCUUGACGGUACCUAAGCAGAAAGCCACGGCUAACUACGU